UACAGAGGUCUCAAGCGUUGUUCGGAUUCAUUGGGCGUAAAGGGUGCGUAGGCGGCGCGGUAAGUCGGAUGUGAAAUCUCGGAGCUUAACUUCGAAACUGCAUUCGAUACUGCCGUGCUUGAGGACUGGAGAGGAGACUGGAAUUUACGGUGUAGCGGUGAAAUGCGUAGAUAUCGUAAGGAAGACCAGUGGCGAAGGCGGGUCUCUGGGCAGUAACUGACGCUGAGGAGCGAAAGCGUGGGGAGCGAACAGG
rnacentral:rRNA from 1 species